GGCACCAUGGGUCAGCUGGCUAAAGCACCUGCCUUAUAAGCAGGAGAGCUUGGGUUCAACUCCCAGUGGUGCCU
rfam:Pelodiscus sinensis unplaced genomic scaffold scaffold337, whole genome shotgun sequence.